GACCUAUCUGGCCUUUGAUUGGGCCUACUGCGUCUUCUGAUGGAGAUGUAAAACGAAGUGCGUGAGUUUAAAAGACCUGUGUUCCUGUAGGUGUUGAGAGGAUAGUGUGGAGGAUACGUUUGGUCCGGAUCAGGAGGAUCCUUAGGCUCUUGCCAGAGUUUCUGUGCAUGUGGCAGAUCAUGUCCGAGGUCAAGGCACUCAGACAGCGAAUAAGAGUGAAUAAGUUCAGACGUUACUUUAACGCAUCUGUGAUCUCUCUCUACACAUUCAUUACGCACCGGUUUCACUGACCGUGUUUAGCGUGCAGCCUAGAAGGAGGACAGGGUGAUGGCGGAAUGGCUAACCCUGGCAUAGGGCACGGCCAACAGGCUGCAGCUCCAGACCCGGAGACAGAGUGUGUUCUGUCCAUGGAUAACGGUUUUAGAUGUAAAACAAUCAGUUGUGUUCCUGUAGGUGUUGGCAGCUCAGGAGCAGAGACGAGCGACUCUGAUCGCAAUCAUCCGUGAUCUAAGGCAGCAACUUCAGCACAUAGGGUUCAUUACGCACCGGUUUCACUGACUGCAUUUAACGUGCAGCCGAGAAGCUGACGGAAGGUGAGCUGCAUGAUGGCAGGCUGAUCGCCGAUCAGAAGAAGGAGGUGGAAGAUUUGAGGGGCCGAUUUUUAUUUUGGUUUUUGUUAAAUAAAAGGUUUCUUUAAACAACCAACACCUGCCUGACUGUACGAGUUAUUUACAUGAACCAGUCGCAGGAACGUCUUGCUAUAAGGGAUGUGAA
ensembl:lncRNA